UAGGGAAUCUUCCGCAAUGGGCGAAAGCCUGACGGAGCAACGCCGCGUGAGUGAUGAAGGUCUUCGGAUCGUAAAACUCUGUUAUUAGGGAAGAACAAAUGUGUAAGUAACUAUGCACGUCUUGACGGUACCUAAUCAGAAAGCCACGGCUAACUACGUGCCAGCAGCCGCGGUAAUACGUAGGUGGCAAGCGUUAUCCGGAAUUAUUGGGCGUAAAGCGCGCGUAGGCGGUUUUUUAAGUCUGAUGUGAAAGCCCACGGCUCAACCGUGGAGGGUCAUUGGAAACUGGAAAACUUGAGUGCAGAAGAUGAAAGUGGAAUUCCAUGUGUAGCGGUGAAAUGCGCAGAGAUACGGAGGAACACCAGUGGCGAAGGCGACUUUCUGGUCUGUAACUGACGCUGAUGUGCGAAAGCGUGGGGAUCAAACAGG
rnacentral:rRNA from 1 species